GUCGAGGAUCUUUCACAAUGGAGGCAACUCUGACGCAGCCAUGCCGCGUGCAGGAAGAAGGCGCUACGCGUUGUAAACUGCUUUUAACCGGGAAGAAACCCCAGGACGUGUCCUGGGUUGACGGUACCGGAGGAAUAAGCACCGGCUAACUUCGUGCCAGCAGCCGCGGUAAUACGAAGGGUGCAAGCGUUAUCCGGAUUCAUUGGGUUUAAAGGGUGCGUAGGCGGAGCGUUAAGUCAGUGGUGAAAUCCUGCAGCUUAACUGUAGACUUGCCAUUGAUACUGUCGCUCUUGAGUGCGCUUGAAGUGGGCGGAAUGUGCCGUGUAGCGGUGAAAUGCUUAGAUAUGGCACAGAACACCAAUUGCGAAGGCAGCUCACUAAGGCGAUACUGACGCUGAGGCACGAAAGCGUGGGGAUCGAACAGGAUUAGAAACCCCUGUAGUCC
rnacentral:rRNA from 1 species